UACGUAUUGUCGGCGAUGGUGACACGCGAUGAGUCGAGACCUGUCAAACUGGACGCCAUUGAUUUCAUUCUACCCGCGCUUGAAAACAAUUCUCUUGUCUUUCUAAAUCGGUGAAAACAAGAGGUCGUGAUUCUACCGAGCGCCAUUUGCAGUCUAAAGUCGAGUACACGAUAGUUUCGAAGUUGAGAAUAUUAGGAUGGAUUCGGGGCGUGACAUUGUAGAGGAGGACCCAGAGGCCGAAACAAAAGAAGAGGAACCCCGGCGAGCCGUAUCAGCCGAAGGUGCUGGGAGACAUAGAGAGGCCAGUGGUACUUCGUUUUUAAAAACCUGAGCAGGCUUAAGAAGGUUUUCCUAAAUGAAGAAACUUUGGGACUGGAUGAAAGCAGACGACUUCCCCAGGUAUCACGAUUGCGUAUUCGUGAUCUUGAUUCUAAGUACGGUGAAGGGCAAAGCAUGGACUUUUUGUUGUGCGUGGAGACGUCAAAUAGAUGGAGUAGUUACAUAUUCGAGGUAACAUUUAAAGCUGACUCGAACUUAGACUUCGCAAUGAAUACACCAGGUUCACAGCUGAAUGUGCCCGUGCAGUGUUCCCUCUCACGCAAUGUGUCACAAGAGGCACCCAGAAGUUGUCUUAGUGAUGAUGCCUUCCAACAAUGAGCAUUGUCUCUCUGUCAUGAAGUGGUACUGUAAAGUUUAUCAGAUCCGUCGCGACUGUCUUGCUUUGAUGAUAUCUCUCAUAAGGUUCCAUUAGCGCAGUGGAGAGUCGCGACGGCGCCUUGCUGAGUUUAUUGUAGAGAACGACGCGUCGUAGGAGUGUUAAAGUGUCGUUCAUUUGCUUCGCAAUCCAAAGAUUUAAUCCAGAGUCUCACAAGACGCAUUAGAAGAACUGUUGAGGUGAUUCACUCUAUGAAUGUAUCAAAAUUGUUUAAGGAUAUGCUUUUGCUCUCUGUUAAAACAUGUAAAAAUGGAAUAAAUAUUAUGCCACUUUCUGUGUCGGAGUAAUUUCUUUUACACCAUGUGUAUCGAUCUCACGAGAGUUCUUCAACAAAAGUGUCAUGGAGCUCUUGAUAAUCUUCUUGAUCAUACUCAACACCGAUGUCCGAAAGUGACGUUCGUGACGGGCAAAUUAUUUCUGCUUGCUUUUCCGGAAAUCGAGUGCGGUCGGUUUAACCAAGUCUGUUUCUAUCCGAAUUUCUGCAGGCAAAUGUGCAGUAUGAUUUGGCGUAUAAUCGAUAAGUAUA